rnacentral:tRNA from 1 species
GAGCUCCAUACACUACAUGGUAGAGCAUCUGCUUUGUAUGUAGAAGGCCCCAGAUUCAAUCCCUGGGUCCA